rnacentral:rRNA from 1 species
GACGAACGCUGGCGGCGUGCCUAAUACAUGCAAGUAGAGCGCUGAAGGAGGAGCUUGCUUCUCUGGAUGAGUUGCGAACGGGUGAGUAACGCGUAGGUAACCUGCCUGGUAGCGGGGGAUAACUAUUGGAAACGAUAGCUAAUACCGCAUAAGAGUAGAUGUUGCAUGACAUUUGCUUAAAAGGUGCAAUUGCAUCACUACCAGAUGGACCUGCGUUGUAUUAGCUAGUUGGUGAGGUAACGGCUCACCAAGGCGACGAUACAUAGCCGACCUGAGAGGGUGAUCGGCCACACUGGGACUGAGACACGGCCCAGACUCCUACGGGAGGCAGCAGUAGGGAAUCUUCGGCAAUGGACGGAAGUCUGACCGAGCAACGCCGCGUGAGUGAAGAAGGUUUUCGGAUCGUAAAGCUCUGUUGUAAGAGAAGAACGAGUGUGAGAGUGGAAAGUUCACACUGUGACGGUAUCUUUCCAGAAAGGGACGGCUAACUACGUG